rfam:Pteropus alecto contig48648, whole genome shotgun sequence.
GGGGUGUGAUCAGAGCAGGGCACCUGAAGAAUGGCUGUUCUGUUUACAACACAUCCAACAGGAACUUGGGUUUACUCUUCACAGGUGAUGUUACGCUCUAUAUGU